AUGAAUAUAGACCCCAAAAAAUCCUAAAUUAAAUACAUAGCAAAUUGCAUCCAGCAACAUACUGGAAGAACACAUACUCGGAUUGUAAAGAUGGUUCAGCAUUAGAAAAUCUAUUAUUGAUAUGAUUUUCUCUAAGGCGAAUACUGAAAGUAUUUGGACUUUAAGAAAAAGAACUUGGCAAACUAGGAAAAGAACAAAGUGCCUUUAAUUUUUUGAAGAAUGUAUCUACCACAAACCUUCAGAAAACAUCAUAAACUUUACAAAAGAUGCAAUCCAAAUAAUUUCUGCAAAGAAUUAAGUACCCUUGAUGCUACAGCGCUGUAUUGGAUUUCUGGAAAAAGCCAAAACUAUUUACGGAUAAAUGCUUACCUACUAAAUCCAAGAGAAUUUAUUAAGAAUACAAUGGUUUAGCGAAGCGACCUGAUAGGUCAAAAUAGCAAGAAAACAAAUCAUCAUAGAGUACAAUGAUAGUCCACUCGGAAGACCAAACUAAAGUAGCAGCAAAACUAAGGAAAAACCUAAAAGGAAAUCUGCAAAACACCAAAAAAAUUGCAAGCCUUCGCAUGAAUAACAAGGGAAGACUUGACUCCCUGGAGAAAUAACCCCCUCGGCCAGUGAUAAGUCUCCAAAGGGGACUAGCAUCAAAUCUCGGCAAAUUAAAGUACCGAAAACUUGGCCAUUUGGUGACAACCUAUUACAGAAUUUGAGACUGACUCCAAAACAAAAUCGUGCAAAACGUUGCCAUUUGGGGACAAUCUAUCCCGGAACAUGACCUUGGCUAGAGGUUCCUAAGGUGUGUGGCAUCCCUCCGCGAGGAGUCAAGCCGCGAGCGGAACAGCAGCCCGGCCGCGCGCUGUCACCGCAGAGCACCGCGCGGCCGGAAGAGCCGCGUCGGCCCCGCCCCUCUGUGUCGUGGGCGGGGCGUUUCCGGUGGGCGGGGCGGGGCGCACGAGGUCCGCGCGGGUCCUACCUGGAGCGACACCGCGCGGCAGGGCGCCAGGCUCCGCGGCGUGGGCCGCCGCGCCCGCCCCAGAGGUCGUUUCCCCUGCAGUUUCCAACAUGGCAGGCAGGCAGGUUUUAUAGACAUGGACAAGAAGUCUGCACACAGAAGUUCUGAGGAUGCCAGGACCGGCAAAAGUGGAGGUAAGAAUCUUACUUGCUUUAAGAACUUUUGAGUAACUUAAUGUACGUUUCAUAAACCAUUUUGUUUCUCUCUCACUUGUGGCUAAUAUUUGAGAGAAUAAUCGUGUUGCGCUUUGUAUCAAUCUAAGGUAAACACAAACAAAAGAAAAGAGAAAAGCAAAACCAAGAACACCACCGAUCCCGACAUAGGUCAACAUCUCAUUCUUCAGAUGACUGUGUGUUUCCUUCUUCUGUAUCAUCUUCAGGAAGCCAAACGGAUUCAAGUCUAGAAGGUAUGUUUAUCACCCUGUUAAGCUUUUUCAUUUAUAAGUUAAAUGAUGUAGAAAAAAAAUUUAUUAAAACUGCAUCGUAAGAGUGAGAGUACCCACGAUGUGCCAGGCGUAAUGGUGAACACGCGUAGUCCUUUCAGCGAAGGAACUUUCAGGAUAUGGACAAUGAAAAUAAAUAGUCCAUUACAAUGCA
rnacentral:lncRNA from 1 species